AUUGAACGCUGGCGGCAUGCUUUACACAUGCAAGUCGAACGGUAAGGCCCUUUCUGGGGUACACGAGUGGCGAACGGGGGAGUAACACGUGAGUAACCUGCCCUCAUCUCUGGGAAAACAGUCGUAAACGGUUGCGAAGACUUGAUAUGAGCGUUCAAGGCAUCUUGUGGGGUGGAAAGAUUUUUUUUGGUUGGGGAUGGACUCGCGGCCUAUCAGCUUGUUGGUGAGGGAGUGGCUGACCAAGGCUUCGGCGGGUAGCCGGCCGGAGAGGGCGACCGGCAACAUUGGGACUGGGAUACGGCCCAAACCCCUACGGGAGGCAGCAGUGGCGAAUAUUGCACAAUGGACGGGAGUCUGAUGCAGCACCGCCGCGUGCGGGAUGACGGCCUUCGGGUUGGAGACCUCUUUCACUUGUGACGAAGCUUUUUUGUGACGGGAGCAGUAGAAGAAGCACCGGCUACCUACGU
rnacentral:rRNA from 1 species